GCCCGCUUGGCACAGUGGUAAUGCGUCUCACUCGUAUGCAUCAUAUCGUGUGUGAUGAGAAGAUCACUGGUUCGAUUCCAGUAGUACGUU